UCCUUUCUUCUGCCACGUGAGGCCCCAGGGAGAAGAUGAUCAUCUAUGAAGCAGAAAGCGGGCCCUUAUCAGACUUUGAAUCUGCCAGCACCUUGAGGUUGAACUUCCAAACUCCAGAACUGGUAGACGUCUGUUUUUGCAGAACCAUUUUUAAAACUGACAACAACAACAAAGCAUGCCGAUGACUGAUAUGCCGAGAGAGGAUUUCCAUGCAGCUGCAGGCUUUGUUUGUGCCCUGACACAUACAGGCACCUGUUGUGCAGGAGCAUUGAAUCAUAAAAUCUCAGAGGCACCCCACGCUGAAGAAUAACAG